CCCGCAGACCACUCAACGACACACCUAUCCACUCAACGAAACACCCCUCCACUCAACGAAACACCCCUUUACUCAACGAAACGAGAAGGGUCUAGCUGCAGACCCGCAGACCACUCAACGAAACGCCCCUUUACUCAACGAAACGCCCCUUUACUCAAAGAAACGCCCCUUUACUCAACGAAACACCCCCUCACACUACCCGACACUCUGAUUGGCUCUCAAGAGACUGCGUCUGAAACGUGAUGAAGUUUACGUUGACCGAGUAUGAAGAGAGAACCCGAAAAAGUAACACGGUUAAAACACGGGAAAAUAACGGAGGAAAAGAGCAAUACUAAGUUUAGUGAAGGAGCAGGCCCUGAGCUGAGAAGAUGCGACUCGGACACUGAUCUGCACAAAAAAAGGGGAGCUAUGCAAAGCUUGUGGCUCAUCUGCAGGGACACCAAAGGUCAAUGGUGGAGUACGGUGGAUACAGUGUAUACAGAUGCCACCUUGACUGUGUGAAAAGCAGUCACUACCACUGUUGGUUUUGCACAACAAUCAUUGCGACCAAACAAUAUUUCAUCAAGCAUUUCAUAACCUGCUGCAAGACAGCAUCCACAGCAACUCCACAAUCCACAGUGACCCUAGCACCUAGGGUCACUCCACCAUCGUCAGCAACUCCGACAGCCACAGUGACCCCAACAGCCCCAGCAGCAGCCCAUCGAAAAAAAAUAUUGUUGGCAAAGCACUCUAAAACAACAUGCGGUUUUUGUAGCAAAACAGUGCUUAGAAAAAACCUCAAAACACACAUUGAAAGGCAACACAAGGUGAAAUCAUUGGACAUAACAGCAGAUCACCACCUUAACUCUGUGUGUGUUGACAGGAGAAAAUGUACCUGGGGUAGUAACCCUAGUAGGCCUAUAUUAAACACACCUUUUUGUAACAGACAGGUUGCCAUGAUGUUGAAAGUUUGCAAAAACAAAUGAAAUUAUUCAAAACGUUACAUUGUACAGAAGUGUGU